AGGAAGGUCUAUUGACUGUAAACCGCUUUUGAUAGGGAAGAAGAUCUGACGGUACCUAUCGAAUCAGCAUCGGCUAACUCCGUGCCAGCAGCCGCGGUAAUACGGGGGAUGCAAGCGUUAUCCGGAAUUAUUGGGCGUAAAGCGUCCGUAGGUGGUUUUAUAAGUCUGUUGUCAAAUCGCGAGGCUUAACCUCGUACAGGCAGUGGAAACUAUAAGACUAGAGUGCGGUAGGGGUAGAGGGAAUUUCCAGUGUAGCGGUGAAAUGCGUAGAUAUUGGAAAGAACACCGGUGGCGAAGGCGCUCUACUGGGCCUGCACUGACACUGAGGGACGAAAGCUAGGGGAGCGAAAGGGAUUAGAUACCCCUGUAGUCCUAGCCGUAAACGAUGGAAACUAGGUGUU
rnacentral:rRNA from 1 species